rnacentral:rRNA from 1 species
ACGUAAAGCAAAUAAGCAUAAGCAAUCCGACUGGGGAGUCGGUCGCAAGAUUAAAACUCAAAGGGAUUGACGGGGGCCCGCACAAGCGGUGGAGCAUGUGAUUAAUUCGAAGCAACGCGCAGAACCUUAUCACGUUUUUACAAGCCUGGACCGCCAGAGAGAUAUGGCUUUACCUUCGAGGACUAGGACACAGGUGGUGCAUGGCAGUCGUCAGCUCGAGUCGUGAGAUGUUGGGCUAAGUCCCGCAACGAGCGCAACCCUCGGCAUUAGUUGCCAUCAUUUAGUGGGAACUAUAAUGGGAGACCGGUGAUAAGCCGGAGGAAGGUGGGGAGGACGUCAAGUCAUCAAGCCCCUUACAUGGUGGGCUACACACGUCCUACAAUGGGGACUACAGAGGACAAAUCCUUAAAAGUCGUUUCAGUUCUGAUCUCCAAUCCCACUCGUAGGCAUGAAGCUGGAAUCCUUAGUUUCGCGGAUCAAAAAAAAAAGAAGAAAAAGUUACCAAUCCAUGUCCACACGCCA